UGGGGAAUCUUGGACAAUGGGGGCAACCCUGAUCCAGCCAUGCCGCGUGAGUGAUGAAGGCCUUAGGGUCGUAAAGCUCUUUCGCCUGUGAAGAUAAUGACGGUAGCAGGUAAAGAAACCCCGGCUAACUCCGUGCCAGCAGCCGCGGUAAUACGGAGGGGGUUAGCGUUGUUCGGAAUUACUGGGCGUAAAGCGCACGUAGGCGGACCAGAAAGUUGGGGGUGAAAUCCCGGGGGCUCAACCCCGGAACUGCCUCCAAAACUAUUGGUCUAGAGUUCGAGAGAGGUGAGUGGAAUUCCAAGUGUAGAGGUGAAAUUCGUAGAUAUUUGGAGGAACACCAGUGGCGAAGGCGGCUCACUGGCUCGAUACUGACGCUGAGGUGCGAAAGUGUGGGGAGCAAACAGGAUUAGAUACCCUGGUAGUCCACACCGUAAAACGAUGAAUGCCAGUCGUCGGGUAGCAUGCUAUUCGGUGACACACCUAACGGAUUAAGCAUUCCGCCUGGGGAGUACGGU
rnacentral:rRNA from 1 species